rnacentral:rRNA from 1 species
CCUACGGGAGGCAGCAGUGGGGAAUAUUGCACAAUGGGGGAAACCCUGAUGCAGCGACGCCGCGUGAGUGAAGAAGUAAUUCGUUAUGUAAAGCUCUAUCAGCAGGGAAGAAAAUGACGGUACCUGAGUAAGAAGCCCCGGCUAACUACGUGCCAGCAGCCGCGGUAAGACGUAGGGGGCAAGCGUUAUCCGGAUUUACUGGGGGUAAAGGGAGCGUAGACGGCAGUGCAAGUCUGGAGUGAAAGGCGGGGGCUCAACCCCCGGACUGCUCUGGAAACUGUACGGCUGGAGUGCAGGAGAGGUAAGUGGAAUUCCUAGUGUAGCGGUGAAAUGCGUAGAUAUUAGGAGGAACACCAGUGGCGAAGGCGGCUUACUGGACUGUAACUGACGUUGAGGCUCGAAAGCGUGGGGAGCAAACAGGAUUAGAUACCCCUGUAGUC